CCUACGGGAGGCAGCAGUGAGGAAUAUUGGUCAAUGGUCGGGAGACUGAACCAGCCAAGCCGCGUGAGGGAUGAAGGUACAGAGUAUCGUAAACCUCUUUUGUCAGGGAACAAAGGCGGGGACGUGUCCCCGGAUGAGUGUACCUGAAGAAAAAGCAUAGGCUAACUCCGUGCCAGCAGCCGCGGUAAUACGGAGGAUGCGAGCGUGAUCCGGAUUUAUUGGGUUUACAGGGUGCGCAGGCGGGCUGUUAAGUCAGCGGGCAAAGCCCGGGGCUCAACCCCGGCCCGCCGUUGAAACGGGCAGUCUCGAGUUGGAGAGAAGUAUGCGGAAUGCGCGGUGUAGCGGUGAAAUGCAUAGAUAUCGCGCAGAACUCCGAUUGCGAAGGCAGCAUGCCGGCUCCACACUGACGCUGAGGCACGAAAGCGUGGGUAUCGAACAGGAUUAGAUACCCGUGUAGUC
rnacentral:rRNA from 1 species